CCAAAGCAAGUUGCAGUGAUAUAGACCCCUCAUUGAGGAGCAGGUGAUUAUAGGGCCUCUGAAGGACGCCUACAGGUUGAGAUCAGACACUGUGGACCAAACCAGAACCUUUCGUCUGGGAGUCACACAGCACAGCCUGGAGCCAUUACCCUGCCUCCGAAGUAGACUGAAACAACAUCGAGUAGGCCUAUUCCUAACCUCAGCACAACGAGCGUUUGGUUGAUCCCAGAGCAGCAACACGCACAGAAACCCGUCAGCCGGGAGAGGAAAGCUUAGCAGUCAGCAGGCAGCCGGGCCCCCGCACGGCAAACAGCCGCCCGGAGAGCAGCCUAAUACCUGGCUGUCGCUGCCUGUUUGUUCAUGCACUGCAGCAUCUUAACAAGAUCCACCAUGAGACCACAAUACCAGCGGGAAGCUCUGCCUCGUCCAAUAUCGACUAAAUAGAUCAUUUCUUGCAGAAAGUAUUUUCUUGCAUAACUAAUAAAAAAAAA
ensembl:lncRNA